rnacentral:rRNA from 1 species
AACGAACGCUGGCGGCAUGCCUAACACAUGCAAGUCGAACGAACUCUUCGGAGUUAGUGGCGCACGGGUGCGUAACGCGUGGGAAUCUGCCCUUGGGUACGGAAUAACUCAGAGAAAUUUGUGCUAAUACCGUAUAAUGUCUUCGGACCAAAGAUUUAUCGCCCAAGGAUGAGCCCGCGUAAGAUUAGCUAGUUGGUGGGGUAAAGGCCUACCAAGGCUACGAUCUUUAGCUGGUCUGAGAGGAUGAUCAGCCACACUGGGACUGAGACACGGCCCAGACUCCUACGGGAGGCAGCAGUGGGGAAUAUUGGACAAUGGGCGAAAGCCUGAUCCAGCAAUGCCGCGUGAGUGAUGAAGGCCUUAGGGUUGUAAAGCUCUUUUACCAGGGUAUGAUAAUGACAGUACCUGGAGAAUAAGCUCCGGCUAACUCCGUGCCAGCAGCCGCGGUAAU